CCCAAUAGAUGCCGGACGUUACAUCAAUUGUGAGUUUGUCCCCUGACAAGGUUAUUUGCGUGGAUACAGGGAUUGCUGAAUAGACUAGCAAUGCAGAUGCCGAUGGACGCGUUUUGAAUUUAUCCGGGUUCUGAAAAUAGAUCAUCGGCACCAGUUGUUUCAGCUUUGCUUGCAACCGGCGCGACAUGUCCAAGUAUCGCGGCGAGGUGUCGUUCGUUGGAGCUUUCUGCCAGGCUUCUGUGACCCGCGUGCCGACUCCGAUUUGGAACGAGAGCAGAGUAUUACCGAAGACGUCCGGACCAUUGUGCAAGACACUCUCGACUGUGUCAUCAAUGUCAGCAAACCACCGGUCCAGAGAACCGGAAGGUUCAUCGCCAUUGAUGGCUGUGCCGAAGACGCCGCUGAGCAAAGGAACAACGCUCCUGUGAUCG
rnacentral:misc_RNA from 1 species